CGGAAAUGGGCUGCUGUAGUUGUGUGAAUGCAUCGCUCCAGCCAAUCCAAAGACGGGGUUUGUAACCAAUCAGAUGUAGAGACCAUGUGACUGGCUCCGCCCCCUUACUGUCUGAAAGAACAACAGGGAGCGCGUAGAAAACUCCUUCGCGGCGCGAGCAGAGAUUCUCCUCGCGAGCAACGUCCAAAGUUCACGUCUCGCAAGCGAGCAAAUACCUCACUCGAGACGGACUUUUGCUGGCGGAUGUAUGAUUUACGCGCGCGCAUCAACCUGAUUUGCGCUCUCGAAUUUUGACAGUGAUUUGCGCUGAUAGACUGCAGUAUCUUAUGCGCCUUAUUGUGCGGAAAACACGGCACAUGAGCUCCGGAGAAAAUGGUAUACAAAACAUACAUUGCCGGUUAAUACAUUUUUAAUCGUUUGAAUUCUUAAGGUCAUUUAAUCAUCCCUAGUUUAUGUUUUGAUCAGAGUUGUGAUUAAAGGUUUGGGUGUGCCGCAAAAGAUUUUCAGAUUUCAAAGUGGGCCGCGGCAUUCUUCAGUUUGGGAACCGCUGUGCUAAGCAAAAUGCAGCUCUGGCGUGGAAAGAACCCUAACCCUAAACAUAAAGACGGGGAAAAACAACAAACAUAAACAUAAAGACGAUAAACAUAAACAUAAAGACGGGAAGACGUAAAAACGAAAAAAAUAAACAUAAAGACGCGAAAAACGACAAACAUAAACACGGGAAAAUCGACAAACAUAAACAUAAAGACGGGAAGACGUAAAAACGACAAACAUAAACAUAAAGACUCGAAAAACGACAAACAUAAAGACGGGAAAAACGACAAACAUAAAGACGCGGAAAUCGACAAAGAUGAACAUAAAGACGCGAAAAACGACAAACAAAGACUGGAAGACGACAAACAUGAACAGAAAGACGGGAAAAACAACAAACAUAAACAUAAAGACGCGAAAAACGACAAAUAUAAAGACGCGAAAAACGAAAAACAUAAAGACGAGUAAAACGACAAACAUAAACGUAAAGACGCGAAAAACGACAAACAUAAAGACGGGAAGACGACAAACAUGAACAUAAAGACGGGAAAAACAACAAACAUAAACAUAACGACGCGAAAAACGACAAACAUAAACAUAACGACGCGAAAAACGACAAACAAAGACAGGAAAAUUGACAACCAUAAACAUAAAGACGGGAAGACGACAAACAUAAACAUAAAGACGGGAAGACGGAAAAACGACAAACAUAAACAUAAAGACGGGAAAAACGACAAACAUAAACAUAAAGACGGGAAAAACGACAAACAUAGACGCAAAAACGACAAACAUAAAGACGGGAAGACGGGAAAACGACAAACAUAAACAUAAACAUAAAGACGGGAAGACGUAAAAACGACAAACAUAAACAUAAAGACGGGAAAAUCGACAAACAUAAACAUGAAGACGGGAAGACGACAAACUUAAACAUAAAGACGGGAAAAACAACAAACAUAAACAUAAAGACGGGAAGAUGUAAAAACGACAAACAUAAACAUAAAGACGCGAAAAACGACAGACAUAAAGACGCGAAAAACGACAAACAUAAAGGCGGGAAAAACGACAAACAUAAACAUA
ensembl:lncRNA